rnacentral:rRNA from 1 species
GACGAACGCUGGCGGCGUGCCUAAUACAUGCAAGUCGAACGCUUCUUUCCUCCCGAGUGCUUGCACUCAAUUGGAAAGAGGAGUGGCGGACGGGUGAGUAACACGUGGGUAACCUACCCAUCAGAGGGGGAUAACACUUGUAAACAGGUGCUAAUACCGCAUAACAGUUUAUGCCGCAUGGCAUAAGAGUGAAAGGCGCUUUCGGGUGUCGUUGAUGGAUGGACCCGCGGUGCAUUAGCUAGUUGGUGAGGUAACGGCUCACCAAGGCCACGAUGCAUAGCCGACCUGAGAGGGUGAUCGGCCACACUGGGACUGAGACACGGCCCAGACUCCUACGGGAGGCAGCAGUAGGGAAUCUUCGGCAAUGGACGAAAGUCUGACCGAGCAACGCCGCGUGAGUGAAGAAGGUUUUCGGAUCGUAAAACUCUGCUGUUAGAGAAGAACAAGGACGUUAGUAACUGAACGUCCCCUGACGGUAUCUAACCAGAAAGCCACGGCUAACUACGUG